GAUCUUAGGCAAAAAUUCACUUAGCACAUCAGCUCCUGGAAACAAAUGCACUUAACCAGAAAAAUAGGGACAUCAACCAGCAAAGAUGCAUCCUCAUUUAAUAGAGCUUGAAAUUACUAUAAUCUGUAAAGUACAGUGAGAAGAAGAAGUUUCACCUGCCUGCACAUCAGUCAUUGAUUCUCCGUUUGACUUGGAGGGACUCUGAGGGACCGACCUGAGCCUGAGAAGAGGCAAGAUUCCCCUUCAAGGACACACUGGGAACUUACGGACCUCUUUCUCCAUGGUGCAGAGCACAGAGGCUACCUGAGAAUAUCCAGAGACUACAGAAGUCGUCAAGCUGACGCAUCAAUGUUUACAUCUCUCACAAAUGCACGUGUGUUCUGAGAAUCAAAGGGUCAGCCUUGGACACAUCUGGCAUAUCAAGUAUUCUCACUGGUGACUUACACGCUAGAAGUUAUUGAGGACCCCAAAGGUGUUUUGUUUCUAUACCUCAGAAGACAGCAGGAUUCUCAUCUCUGCUUCUGCAUUCCAUCUGAGACAAGAUGUUUGAAUUGAAGCAAACGAGAAACAUAAAAAAAAUGAAGUAAAUAAAGAAGCUAUGGCUUCACCCCAGUACAUUGUUGGCAGAAGAAACAGAGGCAAAUCCAGGAAACUAAAGGAAAAUCAGUGUUGCUAGAGAGAGAUACGGAACUGGAGCCUGGAAUGAGGUGAAGAAACAGACUCAGAAUAGUCCUUGAGCUUGCCACUGGGAAGUAAAAAUCAAUUGCUUGAAUAAAUGUAAGGACUCAGAUAGACAUCACCAUGUGACUCAACAGCAGCCAAUAAGAUGGAAAUAAAGGCUAUGAAGUUAUCGGAUGGCAUCUACAAGGAAUACUUAGAUGAGGAGGUGACUCUGGUGGCAAUUGUUCUUUUGUCUUUCUCACCUUCCUUCUUGCCCUGUCUGGGAUGCUGAAGUGAUGGCUGGUAUACAGAUGCCCUCUUGUGAUGUUGAGAUAAACAUGAGAAUAAAAGUCAGCGAUUACAGAUGGCAGAGAAGAGAGAGAAAGAUAGGAUGUAGGUGGAUAUUGAUGGAACUAAGUUUCUAUUAUACAAGUUCUACCACUAACCUCUGGACUUUAUGAUAUGUGAGGGAGAAAUAAACUCCUAUUUUAGAAGAGAUCUAUGCUACCUGCAACUGAACGGAAUGCCUAGUUGGCACAUCCUAUGUGCUCCAAACCUUCCUUAAUUUCUUUGUGUGAGGCAUACUUAGCCUUUACCCAUUAUUCUGUUCACAUCCAUUCACUCAAACGGCCUCCCAACUCUUUAGUAAAGAGUUUACUAUAGUUUACUCUAUUACCAAGGCAGAUUCUGGAGCAAGCCCCACAAAUCAUAGGUUGAAUAUCCACUCAUCACAAGAGGGAGAUUUGAAGAUACUUCUAUCCAAACACAUUUUAAAUUUCCAGCAUCUUUGGUGGACGUUUGUGGUGGUUGAUAAGGUUUAAAUGACUUGUGAUUCAAGCUCCAUAUUACAAUGUAACCGUGCAAGAGUUCGUGUUUUUUUUUUUUUUUUUAAAUUUAUUUUACUUUAAGUUCUGGUAUACAUGUGUAGAACAUGCAGGUUUGUUACAUAGGUAUACAUGUGCCAUGGUGGUUUGCUGCACCUAUCAAACCAUCACCUAGGUUUUAAGCCCCACAUGCAUUAGGUAUUUGACCUAAUGCUCUCCCUCAUCUUGCCCCCAAACCCCUGACAGGGCGCAGUGUGUGAUGUUCCCCUCCCUGUGUCCAUGUGUUCUCAUUGUUCAACUCCCACUUAUGAGUGAGAACAUGUGGUGUUUCAUUUUCUGUUCCUGUA